AUGUACCAAAAGUACAUUGCCGAGUUGGACACGAUUACGCCUGAGCAGGUGGAAUGGCAGCCAUAUGGCGCGGGUGAGAGCUUGGGGUACACCGCGGACUUCCGCCUCAACCCGAUGUGCUUGCGGGAUAAGGAUCUCUGGCUUAUGCGGUGCCCAUUGAUAUGCAACUGGGUGGUUGAGUUUCAUUUGCCGCAUCGCGUGUAUCGUCAGUUUGGUCUUUUCCAGCCUCACCCGCCGGAUUGGGUGGACACGGAUAAAGCACUUCAUAGGUUGGACAGGAGAAGGCAACGGAAGAUAAAGGACUGGGCCAAGCAUCAUUCUGCGUAUGUUACCCGCUUCCAGCUUUGUGUGGAGCAAGCUCGUAGCACUGCACGCGCCCCGCUUCGUGAGCACAACUCACUUGCUUUUGAUAACUAUGUACGAUGGUUUAUUGGAACUACUCGAGUUGAGAUAUGCCCGCCGGCAUAUAAUGAGGAUAUUCUUGAAGAACCCGUAAACUUUGAGGAUCUAGCAAAGGGGAAGUACAACAGAGAUGUCAGGCUAGGGCAAGGAGUGCCUGCUGUUCCGGUGAUUAACUAUGUGCGCACCGAGAUCAAGAGAGCAGCUGAUGAGAGCCAGUCUAUUCUGGAGAAGACACGGGUUGGAACUGGCAAUGAUGAUGGUUCACUACGAGCAUUCCUCAAGCGUCAGGCCAAGAAGUUAAGGCGGUUAUCGAACCUUCUCGGUUGCCGUGAUCCUGAAUAUGAUGAACCAUCUGCCUCUAGGUCUGGUACACCAUCAGACCCCGCACCUCACCAUGAGGGGGACGAUGUGAGUUCCUCAUAUGCUUAUGUGGAUGAUGAGGGU
rnacentral:rRNA from 1 species